rnacentral:rRNA from 1 species
CGCGGCCUAUCAGCUUGUUGGUAAGGUAACGGCUUACCAAGGCAAAGACGGGUAGCUGGUCUGAGAGGAUGAUCAGCCACACUGGCACUGGAACACGGGCCAGACUCCUACGGGAGGCAGCAGUGAGGAAUAUUGGGCGAUGGGCGAAAGCCUGACCCAGCCACGCCGCGUGAGUGAUGAAGGCCUUCGGGUCGUAAAGCUCUGUGGGGAGGGACGAAAAAUCUCCGUUCAAAUAGGGCGGAGCCUUGACGGUACCUCCUUAGCAAGCACCGGCUAACUCUGUGCCAGCAGCCGCGGUAAUACAGAGGGUGCAAACGUUGCUCGGAUUUACUGGGCGUAAAGCGCGUGUAGGCGGGCUCGCAAGUCGGUUGUGAAAUCCCUGGGCUCAACCUAGGAACUGCAUCCGAAACUGCUUGUCUUGAGUAAUGGAGAGGGUGGCGGAAUUCCCGGUGUAGAGGUGAAAUUCGUAGAUAUCGGGAGGAACAUCAGUGGCGAAGGCGGCCACCUGGACAUUUACUGACGCUGAGACGCGAAAGCGUGGGGAGCAAACAGGAUUAGAUACCCUGGUAGUCCACGCCGUAAACGAUGAGCACUAGGUGCAGCGGAUAUUGACCUCUGCUGUGCCGUAGCUAACGCGUUAAGUGCCCCGCCUGGGGAGUACGG